GAUGAACGCUGGCGGCGUGCCUAACACAUGCAAGUCGAACGGAGAUUACGGACGGAAGUUUUCGGAUGGAAGCCUGUAAUUCUUAGUGGCGGACGGGUGAGUAACGCGUGGGCAACCUGCCCUAUACAGGGGGAUAGCAGCUGGAAACGGCUGGUAAGACCGCAUAAGUCGGUUAAAUCGCAUGAUUUGAUCGGGAAAUGAGCAAUCAGGUAUAGGAUGGGCCCGCGUCCGAUUAGCCAGUUGGCAGGGUAAAAGCCUACCAAAGCGACGAUCGGUAGCCGGACUGAGAGGUCGGACGGCCACAUUGGGACUGAGACACGGCCCAAACUCCUACGGGAGGCAGCAGUGGGGGAUAUUGCACAAUGGAGGAAACUCUGAUGCGGCGACGCCGCGUGAGUGAAGAAGUAUUUCGGUAUGUAAAGCUCUAUCAGCAGGGAAGAUGAUGACGGUACCUGACUAAGAAGCCCCGGCUAACUACGUG
rnacentral:rRNA from 1 species